rnacentral:rRNA from 1 species
GGUAACUCCGGGCCAGCAGCGGGGGGAAGACGGAGGGUGCAAGGGUUAUCCGGAUUGACUGGGUUUAAAGGGUGCGUAGGCGGACAGGUAAGUCAGUGGUGAAAUCUCUGGGCUUAACUCAGAAACUGCCGUUGAUACUAUUUGUCUUGAAUAUCAUGGAGGUAAGCGGAAUAUGUCAUGUAGCGGUGAAAUGCUUAGAUAUGACAUAGAACACCGAUAGCGAAGGCAGCUUACUACAUGAUGAUUGACGCUGAGGCACGAAAGCGUGGGGAGCAAACAGGAUUAGAUACCCCAGUAGUC